rnacentral:rRNA from 1 species
AAUCACGUCUGAUCCGAGGUCAGGAAAGUUGUUAAGCACCAAAGUGCAAAACCGAUUUGCAUCGAAUGCAUUGCCACUACUGGAGCCUCAACCAAAGACAAAGGAACAACAACGGAGCGCGCGCAU